rnacentral:rRNA from 1 species
CGUAGGGUGCAAGCGUUAAUCGGAAUUACUGGGCGUAAAGCGUGCGCAGGCGGUUUUGUAAGUCUGACGUGAAAUCCCCGGGCCAACCUGGGAAUUGCGUUGGAGACUGCAAGGCUGGAGUCUGGCAGAGGGGGUAGAAUUCCACGUGUAGCAGUGAAAUGCGUAGAGAUGUGGAGGAACACCGAUGGCGAAGGCAGCCCCCUGGGUCAAGACUGACGCUCAUGCACGAAAGCGUGGGGGAGCAAACAGGAUU